CACAUACUCCAUCCAUCCGGAAAUACUUGUCGAAGAAAUAGAUGUAUCUAGACAUAUUUUAAUUCUAGAUACAUCCAUUUUUAUCCAUUUCUCUGAUAAGUAUUUCCGGACGGAGGGAGUAGUAU
rnacentral:pre_miRNA from 1 species